rnacentral:tRNA from 1 species
CGGCCGAUGGUGUGCGGCACAUGGCGUGGUUUUCCGUACUGCACGACAAGCCGGGGCUGUUCUACAGCCGGCUUUCGGCCGAC